UGCCUAAUACAUGCAAGUCGAGCGAAUGGAUUAAGAGCUUGCUCUUAUGAAGUUAGCGCCGGACGGGUGAGUAACACGUGGGUAACCUGCCCAUAAGACUGGGAUAACUCCGGGAAACCGGGGCUAAUACCGGAUAACAUUUUGAACCGCAUGGUUCGAAAUUGAAAGGCGGCUUCGGCUGUCACUUAUGGAUGGACCCGCGUCGCAUUAGCUAGUUGGUGAGGUAACGGCUCACCAAGGCAACGAUGCGUAGCCGACCUGAGAGGGUGAUCGGCCACACUGGGACUGAGACACGGCCCAGACUCCUACGGGAGGCAGCAGUAGGGAAUCUUCCGCAAUGGACGAAAGUCUGACGGAGCAACGCCGCGUGAGUGAUGAAGGCUUUCGGGUCGUAAAACUCUGUUGUUAGGGAAGAACAAGUGCUAGUUGAAUAAGCUGGCACCUUGACGGUACCUAACCAGAAAGCCACGGCUAACUACGUGCCAGCAGCCGCGGUAAUACGUAGGUGGCAAGCGUUAUCCGGAAUUAUUGGGCGUAAAGCGCGCGCAGGUGGUUUCUUAAGUCUGAUGUGAAAGCCCACGGCUCAACCGUGGAGGGUCAUUGGAAACUGGGAGACUUGAGUGCAGAAGAGGAAAGUGGAAUUCCAUGUGUAGCGGUGAAAUGCGUAGAGAUAUGGAGGAACACCAGUGGCGAAGGCGAC
rnacentral:rRNA from 1 species